AUUGAACGCUGGCGGCAGGCUUAACACAUGCAAGUCGAACGAGUGGCGGACGGGUGAGUAAUGCUUGGGCAUCUAGCUUAUGGAGGGGGAUAACUACGGGAAACUGUAGCUAAUACCGCGUACCAUAGGAUGAGCCCAAGUGGGAUUAGGUAGUUGGUGUGGUAAAGGCUCACCAAGACGACGCUCACUAGCUGGUCUGAGAGGAUGACCGGCCACACUGGGACUGAGACACGGCCCAGACUCCUACGGGGGGCAGCAGUGGGGAAUAUUGCGAAAUGGGGGAAACCUGACGCAGCCAUGCCGCGUGAAUGAAGAAGGCCUUCGGGUUGUAAAGUUCUUUCGGGAGCGAGGCGUUAACUACAGAAGAAGCACCGGCUAACUCCGUGCCAGCAGCCGCGGUAAUAC
rnacentral:rRNA from 1 species